rnacentral:rRNA from 1 species
CCCUGUAGCCCAAGACUGGUUGCCCACUGAAGCUAAGCAGGGCUGAGCCUGGUCAGUACCUGGAUGGGAGACCUCCUGGGAAAACUAGGUUGCUGCUGGAA